CCCCGCGUGCGACGCCCGGUUGCUCCGUCUGCGCAGUUGGAGCUCCCACCAACAACCUAAAGCCAAUCGACACUGUGAGAUACUGUGUGCACGUGUUCAGACAAGAUUCUGCAAGGAUUGGGACAAAAUAAUUUCCCCCCUUUUUUUUGUGUUUGGUGUCCUUGGAAAAUUCAAAGUAGCCACCAUAAACGACGCAAAACAAGAGAAGGGGUAUACCAAAACAAGAGGACGGGGUAAGGAAAAUCAUCAAAACUUGUUUCCCAACUAAAAAGUCCUUGACCGUUUCUGUCCUUGACUGGGAAAAACAAAACAAAAAGGAAAACAUGGGCUCAUUUAAAUAUUGAAAUUUCAAUUUUCAGAAGCUUAAUUGCUGCAAAACAAUGUGGUAUACAACUGCAUCAGGAAAAGGAGCAGAAAAUCACUUGAAGAAAAGACAAAUCAUAAACCACAACUGCAAUUUUCAAACCGACUGAAACUCAUUCAGAGCUGACGAAAUUAUUUUGAAUAGCACAGGUAGUCGGGAACUCUAAUUAGUAUUUCUUUUUCUCACUCGUAUUGUCUCCGGAUGCGGUUUCCCUUCCCCCUUUUUAUUCGUGAGCUAUGAAUGUCUGCGGUUUUACCUGUUCCUGGUCUAAGCCCAGUAAACUUGACCACCCAAUCCUUUUCACACUUGCCUUUAAAAAAAAAAUUAAUAAAUACAAUGUGGACAGAG